UUUAAAUUGGGUUGUUUAUUUGAUUACUUACAUAUGGAUUUAUGUGCUUGUCAUUGAGCACCUAAGUAUUAAAUGUUUGGCCUCAGGUAGGUUGUGAUUUCUCUUCUAUUUAUCUUGAUUAGUGGAUGUUUGUUGCAAAUCCCUUACAGGAAAGUGAAGAAAACCUUCAUUCUCCACACUGGUGAAAAAGAAAUAUUUGAAUUAACAGCUUGACGAUUAAAGAGUUUUAUUAGUUUUAAAGGUGAAACAGGACCUCAGAGAUUCAGGGGAGAAAAGUAGAGAAAUUUUAAAAAAAAGCAUGCAGGGUAGGAAGAAGGGGUGAAAGACAAAAAGGAAAGCUGUGUAUCAUGGACAGAUGAUAAAACGAGAUUAACAUGAGUGUUCCUCAUUUAAGUUUUGUAUUUGAUUGCAAAUUAAAGGCUUUAGAAUCAAAAGAAUCUGCUUUUUUCAAUUCUUUGAUAGUUUUAUUAUUAGUACUGAGGAAAUCAGCCGCCUACCCAAUGGCAGGAUUCCCGACCAGCAUUCACAGAUAAUAUUUUACAAGGCAAAUCAGGCUUUCUGAGAAUAUAUUUGCAGAACAAUAAUACUUUUAUGUUUCUCUGUCAUCAUCUUUGUUAUGGAUAAAGUGGUCUCUGAUUGACUGAAACACAGAGCAGGGGCACCUGCUAAGAUCACAUUACUUGGAGGUUUGCUGAAUGCCGUUGAAGCUCAUUGACUCUCUGAAUCAGCACCUCACACAACACAUACCUCGAAUGAUCAAAAAGCAGCAGUGAUACUUCUGAGAGGAUCUAUGGAUGGCUGCCAUUUAUCUAGACAGAUGAACUAAUUUACAGGAAGAGGAGACACAGAGAUAUAAAGAUCGACACUUCUACUGUGUUGUUUGAAGCUACAGUGUGAAGUCCAAGGUCCAUACUGUCCGUGGGAUGCUCAUCUGCUAAGAAAGACAGAUGAGUGAUAAUGUGAAGAGAAAGAUUCCUGCUCAUUGUGCAUCUUAAAGAAAGAAAUUUAAGACCCAGCUGAACUCAAUGACCUGUAGCUGCAGUUUCCAGAGUGUCUUCUGAGUGCAUCUGCCUAAGGAAGCACUGCACCAACUGUCAGAAAUGACCUCUUCUAUUCUACAUGUGUGAAGAAAGUUUGAAAAUAUGAACCUUAAAGAUGAAAAAAAAAUUUUAAGAAAUACCACAUAAAAUUUCAUGAGAUCACAGGAUGCGAUCAACGGCUUCUGAGCACUCUAAACGUCGCUCCCAAAUUGACACACUGCAGCCAAAAAUGAGAGAGGGUGAGAGUGAUGAAGAAGCAUAUGACCUCUCAUUGUAGUGUCUGCUCAGGAGAGAACCAGGAAAGGUCACAAGGAGCACAGAGUGUACCUGCAGCUUCAUUAGAUCCAGCAUAAGACAUAGUAACAUACUGCAAGCAACUGAAUUAUGAUCAAGCUCGUAAUAAUAGCAGAGGCAUCUGUCCGUGAUGAGCAACAGAGCUUCAUAUUUGAUGUUGCAAAAUGCAUAGAAGACCUCAGCUUCUGCAAGUUUGGGAAUAUCCUCAGAGUUGUUGGCUGAUAACACACGCCAUGAAUAUAAGAGUGUAAUUUAUACGUAUAGAACACCUAAAUCCAGGAGUAGAAGGAAGAUAUUAGUUAUCGUAAUGUGCGAGAACUUGGACUUCAAUGCAAAAUUUAUAAAGAAGAUACAGAUGGAUCAUUUCUACUAAAUUGGAGCUGUGUAUCAUGCAAACUAGAGAUGGAUUCUGAGAGUAAAUCAAAUUUCAUCCUUUUACCUUCCAUUUUAUCGUGCUAGCAGUGAGCAGAGCAGUCCAGAAAAAGGCAGCGCUUUCGUGCACAAAGGCAGGUGGCAGGUUGAUCUCUUCAGAGUGGGUCCUGUGGUCAGUAAGGUGCUCGGCUCACCCCACCAAGGAUUAAUGUCUGUCAACAAGGUGGCUCAUUAUCAUUCUGCUGUGAAGAUGGAAGAAAUCUGCCCGUAGCAACACAGUGAUGGCAAGAUAGAGAUAAUGAUACUGGCCUCCUUCAAUCAAGUGCUUUGAUAUCUACUUGCUGAAGAUAUGCAUUAUGAGAAAGUCAUUUCACCAGCUGUGCGAGUCACCCUACAACUUUCUAGGACUUUUAUUUUUCUCAAAGUGAGCCGUAAAAUGACUUAUUAACAACUCAACUGAUCUUCUACUGUUAUAUUUUCUUCCUUCAAAAGAUCCGGCUACAUUUGACUCAAACUUUUUCUUACCACAUUUUCAAAUUAUUACAUCAUAACGCCAUUGAUUUCAGGGCAGAUCUACAGCAUUCUGCAGAAGAAAAUUAGGUUGAAAUCAUCUCUAAUUGUAAAGAUAUUUUUUCCACUACCUGACAGCCUACUCAUUAGGAAUAUUAAAAAUAAGGGAUAAAUUGUUAAACUUGGAUUAAAUGUCUUAAAUCAGUACACACUGCCUACUUUCAUCAUUGAAUGGGAUGGAAAAGUACCUAUGAGCUUUCCAAAGAUGCAAAGAAGAUAUACAAAAUAGAUACAAGGUAAAAAAGGUAUUUUUCUGUAAACAGAAUUAGAUUUUCACUGCUAAGAUGUUGAUCUUGUUCAUGCUUCUGAAGAGAUAGUAUUGUGGUUUUGUUCUAAAUAUGUAAAGACAAACCUGGAAGUGUUGUUUUCUCUCAGUAUAUACACUUCUAAAAUGUCAUGAAAAUAUGACUCUCUAACUUUUCAAAAGCUUUUGGGGGCAUAUGUGAGAGGUGUGUGUUAAAACGCAUACCCUUUCAUAGAAUUAUACUUUUUCCAUUUGUUGAAGAAACACCAGAUUCCAUGCCAAACAGGAACAUUUACAAAUGUUUUUCUUAGAUGUACACUGACUUAAAAGAUAUUUCACACUUGAGGACAUAUGCAUAUGACAUAUUUUGUGCACCAUCAGUAGCAAAUUCAUCUUAGUGAAAGUUAUUCUCUCUACUUGGAAAUCUUCACAUUUACGUAUGAAGGCUGCUUCAUAAGGUCAAAAAUACGAGGGUUUUUUUUCACGCUAACGUGAGCAAAGCAAAGGUGGAAGCUGUAAAAUAUCUGCCAGCUUGCUUGCCACCUGAUCUGCUCUGAUUUACAAGGAUGUUCAUGUUACUGUUAUUGAAUUAAUAUAUUUGCACUAGCCUGCUUUAAUUUAGAUGUGUUCCAGACCAGUUAACUGGAAGAGUGAAAUAGGUGUUUAGUGUAUAAUAGAUAUGAUUAUUAGUUUUACUUAACUUAUUAGCAGAGCUGGGUAGAAAAUUGUUUCCCUCAGCCUCUGAAGUUUUUGAGAAUUAAGAAGAACGUUCCUUUGUCACACAAGGGAAAGAUCAUAUAUUCUGCUGGGAUUUUCAUGUGUGUGUGUAUGUCUGAACAUACACGCAGUCCUUGUUAUAAAAGAACGUAGAAUUCUUGCUGCAUAACCUGCUGGUGAGGGUACACAAUGAAAAAUACAAACCCUGAGCAAAUGGGCUGAAUUUAGGUCAUUUUUAUGCCUGCAAUAUUAAGUGCUGUGGGCUGGCUUUCUCUCCAGUCUGUUCAGGAGGUCUGCACUGUACCUAAGGGUCUCUACCUGAGAAGUGCUUAGUCACAGUCAUGCUGUGAAAAGUUUCAUUUCUGUGAAUCAGUGAAUCCCAGAGAAAGCGUUUGUCUGAAAAGUUCCCAAUCAUUCCCGUUUAGUCAUUCAUUUUAGUGAUAGUUUUGAUCUUGUGUCUUCCCUCCUUUAUCCAUUCUCAGAGCAUAUUUUGCAAAGAUGAUCACCUUCAGAUAAAUCUGUUGAAAUUUUAACCACAGUGAUUCUUAAAACAUCUGGCACAACAUCUGGGCUUGGAGUCCUGAGAAUAACUAGCACCCUCCUGCCGGUCCUUCUCAUUCAUACUUAAAAACCAAAAGGGGUUAUCUAGUAGGUUUCCUGCUACCUCUGUUGGUAGCACGAGAGACUCCCCAGGAAAGGAACCCUUUUAGAGAAGGUGAGCACACAAUGCUAAAAGGUGGACAAGGCAAGCAAGUCCUGGGAUACCGGGUGCUGCUUCUGCAGCGGCUCAGUUAUCUGCCCUCAUUUGGUUUCUCUCUUGUUUUGUCUCGUUCCAGCUGCUUUUCCCUUUACCCACAAUUGCAGUCGGCUCUUGUGUUUAGAUUCAGCUGCUUUUUCGACACCGAGCUGCCUCUGAUUCUUUAAAGUGGCUUCAGGCUCCUGUUUAUC